AGACAGAGUUUAUUAGAUGCCACAAACACCUUUUAUCGUGCAGCACAAAUGCUUGUGUCAUACAGCCCGCGUGCCUUGACUCUGGCUAAAAACCGGAGUGCUGGCUUUCUUCCAGGGUGUUUCUGCAUGUCCGUAGCAUAGCUGCAGGGUCAGAGCGGCAGGCAGACACGGCACAGGCCAGCCCAAAGCCGGGCCAUCCGAGUCCGACGGGCACUCAAGAAUCAAGAAUCAAACUGGGCAGAGCAGCUCCAGGUACCCACCCCUUGAAGGGAAAAUCCCAGAAAUCUAGCAUUUUAAAGAAGGAAUCAAAGAUCAUAACCAGUAGAUGGCAACUAGAUUUCAAC